rfam:Drosophila sechellia strain Rob3c scaffold_106 genomic scaffold, whole genome shotgun sequence.
AGUACGUAGGCAUAAUUCCUAUAGGUCUAAUGAAUCGUGCAUGCCACCUACGGACAGUAGGUGGUAUCUUUAGAAGAUUU